CGGACGGGUGAGUAACGCGUGGGUAACCUGCCUUGUACAGGGGGAUAACAGUCAGAAAUGACUGCUAAUACCGCAUAAGCGCACAGGACCGCAUGGUCCGGUGUGAAAAACUCCGGUGGUAUAAGAUGGACCCGCGUUGGAUUAGCUGGUUGGUGGGGUAACGGCCUACCAAGGCGACGAUCCAUAGCCGGCCUGAGAGGGUGAACGGCCACAUUGGGACUGAGACACGGCCCAG
rnacentral:rRNA from 1 species